CACCGCGGUUAGACGAGAGACCCUAGUUGAUAAUAUAACGGCGUAAAGGGUGGUUAGGGGUAAAACAAAAUAAAGCCAAAUGGCCCCUCGGCCGUCAUACGCUUCUAGAUGUCUGAAGUCCCCUUACGAAAGUAACUUUAAUUUAAUAUACCCGACUCCACGAAAGCUAAGAAA
rnacentral:rRNA from 1 species